GAGACGCUCAUUGGAUGUUGUACAGUUAGCCUACGUUAGCUGGCAAAGUUACCGACAAUUUAAUUCUCUCUCGGGGUAGGAAUUUGAUGAUUUUAUCUACUUGUAGCGUUCCCUUUUAAUACACCAAAUAGUAUAACUAUGUCAGCGUCUCUCGAUUGAAUACAAUCUCAGCUAUUUCUGUUUUUACCGCUAAUAAAUUAUUUUUAUUAAUUUAUUUUUUUGGUGUGACGUGCUCUACCCGUAAACGAACGGUAAGCUUUAUCCUCUAUCGGUCGCUCCAAAUGCUUUUCAAGGGACAUCACUUGUAACAAAGAUGUAGCUACUUUGUGCGUUUAACGUUCUAAAUUAAAUUUACUCUAAAGGUUGAGCGGUUGGAACCAGAGCUUAUCCUAUGGCUGCCUGACAUAAUAAUGACAUAAGGAGUGAUAGCCUAGUUACAGUACAAAACGGGGCUUCGCCAUCGGCGAAAAUACGCCAGUAAUAAAACAUAGCCUAUUUCGGAUAAUAUAACAGAAAAUUUUGUCAAAUUCUUAAAGUUGGCAGAUUAUUUGGCAAACCACCAAGGGCUUAGGCUAUUCCUGUCGCUACAUGGUGAUUUUAGUAAGUCCUAGCACGACAUAAUAAACUAAUAAUAAUAAUAUUAACAGCAACAACAACAACGAUAGUAAUGCCAACAGCAUCAUUAAAAACGAGCAGACGGUCGUAGGCUUUGUAGAAUAAUUAUACGUAGGCAGGUAUCUGUCCUGUCUGCUGUAAAUAUGUGUAAUGCAUGGAGCUACAAAAGUGUGGUUUGUGCUACACAGACAGAAAUGUUCACAUGCGACGGUCGCCUAAAUAUGGAAUUGAUGAAUGGGGUUGAAGGUUCUAUGUUUUUUUCCCCUUUAAGAGCGGGGAGUUCUGUCAGGAGGCAGAGGUGCCGAGCCGAGCCCAGCGGCAGUAUUUCAGCCAAUUAAAAACCGCCCUCCCCCGUUCACCACUCGGAGAAAGGGCGGGCUCAAGAACUUGAGCGAUGUGUGCGGUUUCCAAGGCAACCACUUGCCUUGACCUCCCCUGUAACCCCCAUCCUCCUCGGGCAAGAGACAUGUUUCCAUGGAGAUAAUUGGAUCUCGGAGUACUUUCUAGUUCCCGUAAAGUGUGGUGUUAGAACGUCGGAAAGAGGAUUUCUAUAGCGAAUACAGAAGUGUCAUGUCACUACAUCGCAUUCUGGCUAAUGUUUGCAUGGAUUCUGUUCCCUUACUGCUUUCCCUGGAGUGAGAUAUUUUGUCACAUAAUUUGUGACGUGAAACAACUGAACAAAACAGGAACUCUGCAAGGGAGGACAGACGAGGAACCAAAAUGGAACCGAAAAGCCCUCUGCCCAACCCCAAUGGAACGUUCUCUUCCUGUGACCUGUUGAGACGAAUCUGCGUGCCUGGGAGUGCAGGACAUCCAGGAAACCGAUUCAGGCACUGGGAAUGUUGACAUGAACUUUCCAGGAAUGCUCUAGGACGCAUUCACUAAUUGGGGAAGUUCCGGAGAAAACGCUAAGCUUCUCUUUGAUGACAAGGCAAUCGAGAUCUUCACUCUGGGCUUCCCUUUGAGAAAGCUUAACUCCCAGCCCCCUGGUCUCAACACCAGCCCAUCAGUCCUGCCACCUAGAGCGCCCCAACACAUCCGCAGGCAUGAAUUAAACACAGGGAAGUGGUCUGGGGGCCAGGUUUCAUUGCAGGGUUACAGUGCUGAGUGCAUUCUGUUGUUCUAACAUAAAUGGGUUUACUCACUCUGAGUGCGUGUGUGUGUGUGUGUGUGUGAGCCUGUGUGUUUGUGCGCAUGCAUAUAUGCAUGUGCUUUUGUAAGAGAGUUUGUUUCAGUUUUUUAUGUACAUCUGUGUUCAUGUGUUUACAUUUUCAUAUAAACAUAGCAGACUUCUCUCUCAUUCAGAGUAUCCUACACAGCUUUUGACAUACGUUUCUGACACGUAAUCAAUUUAUAUAGCUGGAUAUUUACUGAUGCAAUUCCGGUUAAGUACCUUACUCAAGGGCACAAGGGCAUUGGCUCCACCUAGGAACUAAACCUGCAACCUCUGAAUAACAAUCCCAGUACCCUGGACACUGCACUACACUGCUGCCAUGUUUGUAUGUACAAUGGGCCAGUGGCCUGCAAGCAUACAGUAUGUGUGCUUACAAGUGUAUUUGUACAUGCGUGCAUAUGCACUUUUGCCUGUAUCUGUUAUGCGUUUAUAUUGUGCUGUAGCUGGUAACAGUGAAAACAGUAAUGAGGCUUCUGUGCAUGUUUUUGCGUGUGUCCAUAUCAGUAUUCUGUGUUUUUUGGUAUACCUUGUAAAUGUGUUUGUGUGUGUAUGUGUGAGUGAGUAUGUGUGUGCAUAAUUUGCAUGCGUGUAUGUGCACAUGUAUGUUUGUAUGUGUUUAUAUGUAAUGUGUCUGUAUAUUUGUGUCAGUGUUCACAGGCGUGUACGUGUAACGCACGUGUGCAGUGUGCAUGCGUUCACAGACUCAGGUGCAUAUUUACACUCUGAAUCUGCAGCUUUAGUGCCUCCAGUGGUUGAUUUAUGUCUCUUUGUAAGUAUCCAUUAGGCGCUGUCUGGCAGUUUG